rnacentral:tRNA from 1 species
UGGGACGUGGCCAAGUGGUAAGGCAACGGGUUUUGGUCCCGUCAUACGUAGGUUCGAUCCCUACCGUCCCAGCCA